rnacentral:rRNA from 1 species
AACGAACGCUGGCGGCAGGCCUAACACAUGCAAGUCGAACGCUCUAGCAAUAGAGAGUGGCAGACGGGUGAGUAACGCGUGGGAAACUUCCUAGGGGUACGGAAUAGCUCAGGGAAACUUGGGGUAAUACCGUAUGAUGCCGUAAGGCCAAAGAUUUAUCGCCCUUAGAUGUGCCCGCGUCGGAUUAGCUAGUUGGUGAGGUAACGGCUCACCAAGGCGACGAUCCGUAGCUGGUUUGAGAGAAUGACCAGCCACACUGGGACUGAGACACGGCCCAGACUUCUUGUAGAGGCAGCAGUGGGGAAUCUUGGACAAUGGGCGCAAGCCUGAUCCGGCCAGGCCGCGUGAGUGACUAAGGCCUUAGGGUUGGAAAGCUCUUUUGCCGGGGACGAUAAUGACGGUACCCGGAGAAUAAGUCCCGGCUAACUUCGUGCCAGCAGCCGCCGUAA